rnacentral:rRNA from 1 species
AGUGAACGCUGGCGGUAGGCCUAACACAUGCAAGUCGAACGGCAGCACAGUAAGAGCUUGCUCUUACGGGUGGCGAGUGGCGGACGGGUGAGGAAUACAUCGGAAUCUACUUUUUCGUGGGGGAUAACGUAGGGAAACUUACGCUAAUACCGCAUACGACCUACGGGUGAAAGCAGGGGAUCUUCGGACCUUGCGCGAUUGAAUGAGCCGAUGUCGGAUUAGCUAGUUGGCGGGGUAAAGGCCCACCAAGGCGACGAUCCGUAGCUGGUCUGAGAGGAUGAUCAACCACAAUGGAACUGAGACACGGUCCAGACUCCUACGGGAGGCAGCAGUGGGGAAUAUUGGACAAUGGGCGCAAGCCUGAUCCAGCCAUACCGAGUGGGUGAAGAAGGCCUUCGGGUUGUAAAGACCUUUUGUUGGGAAAGAAAAGCAGCAGGUUAAUACCCCGCUGUUCUGACGGUACCCAAAGAGUAAGCACCGGCUAACUUCGUG